UACAGAGGUCUCAAGCGUUGUUCGGAUUCAUUGGGCGUAAAGGGUGCGUAGGUGGCGGGGUAAGUCAGGUGUGAAAUCUCCGGGCUUAACCCGGAGCGGUCAAGUGAUACUGUCGUGCUAGAGUGCGGAAGGGGCUACUGGAAUUCUCGGUGUAGCGGUGAAAUGCGUAGAUAUCGAGAGGAACACCUGCGGCGAAGGCGGGUUGCUGGGCUGACACUGACGCUGAUUGUGCGAAAGCUAGGGGAGCGAACGGG
rnacentral:rRNA from 1 species